GUGGAUUAGAUACCCCGGUAGUCCUAGCCGUAAACGAUGUGAACUUGGCGCUGGACGGGUAAAACCGAUCAGUGCCGCAGCAAACGCGAUAAGUUCACCACCUGGGGACUACGGCCGCAAGGUUAAAACUCAAAGGAAUUGACGGGGGCCCGCACAAGCAGCGGAGCGUGUGGUUUAAUUCGAUGCUACACGAAGAACCUUACCAGGGCUUGACAUGGAAGUGGUAGUGAAGCGAAAGCGGAACGACCCUUCGGGGAGCUUUCACAGGUGCUGCACGGUUGUCGCCAGCU
rnacentral:rRNA from 1 species